UAAUUCUGAUCAAUAUGCUGAGCAUUGGAGUGCCUCUUCAAGGUAAGUCAAAAUCUAAUUACUGUUAAUGGACCUUGUCAUAUACUGAGCUGUGACAGGCAUGCUGCUAGCAAAGAAUCAGUAAAAUGCCAGCAAAAAUACCAUCAAUGAAGUAUUGAAUCUUGUUGCUGCCUGUUCACAUGCAUUUAAUUUUGUACUGUUAUACUUGUCCCAUACAGGGUCACGGGGAGCCGGAGCCUACCCGGCAACACAGGGCGUAAGGCCAGAGGGGGAGGGGACACACCCAGGACGGGACGCCAGUCCGUCGCAAGGCACCCCAAGCAGGACUCGAACCCCAGACCUACCGGAGAGGUGCGGCUGCUUGGCUUCUGUGUGUGACAGUACCCCUCCUCCACGAGCGGCUCCAGCCAUCUGCCUCGACCGGCGUGGACCCCCCCCCCGGGUCUGGGCACUGGGCGAUCCGGAUAAUACAUGUGAAACGAUUCAAUCAGAGACUGCUCGAGGAUGUCCAAUGCAGGAACCCAGCAACGUUCCUCCGGGCCAUUUCCCUCCCAAUCCACCAGGUACUGCAUGCGGCUGUGACAGUGACAGGAGUCUAGGAGCUCCCACACUGAAUACGCCAGGGCCUUGUCCACCAGUACUGGAAGUGGGGACCCCGACUCCCAAGGAGCCUGGAGUUGGGAUACCUUGUCCGGUUUAAGGAUAGAUAAGUGGAACAAAGGACAUACCCAGAGAGAUGGUGGCAGUCGCAGCCGAUACGUGACCAAGUUGGUCUGUCAGAUGAUUCUGUAAGGGCCAAUGUACCUUGGGCUAAGCUUGCGGGAGGAGAGUCGCAUCUUCAGGUCCCUGGUGGACAACCAGACCCACUGGCCAGGGUGGAAGGAGACGGAGUGACUGUGACGGUCGGCCUGUUUCUUGUAACUGCAGGCGCUUUGCUGGAGACAGGCUGUCACCACCCACCAUGUCUCCUCGCUGGUCCAGUACCAGGCACCAACGGCGGGAAUCUCGGUGCACUCUGGGUGCCAAGGGAACAGGGGAGGCUGGUAACCUAAAACACACUGAAAUGAGGUGAGACUCGUGGAGGUGUGAGGCAUUGAAUUAUGGGUGUAUUCGGCCCAGGGAAGAAACCGAGCCCACUGGUGCUGCUAUGCCCAUGAUAGCUGCGCAAGAACCUGCCAAGGUCCUGAUGUAUUCUUUUCCAGCCAGGUCUCUGUCACAGGCAUGGUUGAGGCGGCUUCUGAUGACGCAGGAAGCAUUGCAGAAGCAGCGCUGGGAGCACCC
rnacentral:lncRNA from 1 species